rnacentral:rRNA from 1 species
UUGGUUAAGUUAGAAAGGGCGCACGGUGGAUGCCUUGGCACUAGGAGCCGAAGAAGGACGGGACUAACACCGAUAUGCUUUGGGGAGCUGUACGUAAGCGUUGAUCCAGAGAUUUCCGAAUGGGGGAACCCACUAUCUUUAGUCGGAUAGUAUCCUUACGUGAAUACAUAGCGUGAGGAAGGCAGACCCAGGGAACUGAAACAUCUAAGUACCUGGAGGAAGAGAAAGAAAAAUCGAUUUCCUGAGUAGCGGCGAGCGAAACGGAAAGAGCCCAAACCAAGAAGCUUGCUUCUUGGGGUUGUAGGACACUCUAUACGGAGUUACAAAAGAAAGUUAUAAAUGAAGCGGUCUGGAAAGGCCCGCCAAAGACGGUAACAGCCCGGUAGUUGAAAUGGCUUUCCCUCCAGAGUGGAUCCUGAGUACGGCGGAACACGUGAAAUUCCGUCGGAAUCCGGGAGGACCAUCUCCCAAGGCUAAAUACUCCCUAGUGACCGAUAGUGAACCAGUACCGUGAGGGAAAGGUGAAAAGCACCCCGGAAGGGGAGUGAAACAGUUCCUGAAACCGUGUGCCUACAAGUAGUUAGAGCCCGUUAAUGGGUGAUAGCGUGCCUUUUGUAGAAUGAACCGGCGAGUUACGAUUUGUUGCAAGGUUAAGCGGAAAAAGCGGAGCCGUAGCGAAAGCGAGUCUGAAUAGGGCGCAUAAGUAACAGGUCGUAGACCCGAAACCAGGUGAUCUACCCAUGUCCAGGAUGAAGGUAAGGUAAUACUUACUGGAGGUCCGAACCCACGCACGUUGAAAAGUGCGGGGAUGAGGUGUGGGUAGCGGAGAAAUUCCAAUCGAACUUGGAGAUAGCUGGUUCUCUCCGAAAUAGCUUUAGGGCUAGCCUCGAGGUAAAGAGUCAUGGAGGUAGAGCACUGUUUGGACUAGGGGCCCUUCUCGGGUUACCGAAUUCAGAUAAACUCCGAAUGCCAUGUACUUAUACUCGGGAGUCAGACUGCGAGUGAUAAGAUCCGUAGUCGAAAGGGAAACAGCCCAGACCACCAGUUAAGGUCCCCAAAUAUAUGUUAAGUGGAAAAGGAUGUGGGGUUGCUUAGACAACCAGGAUGUUGGCUUAGAAGCAGCCACCAUUGAAAGAGUGCGUAAUAGCUCACUGGUCGAGUGACCCCGCGCCGAAAAUGUACCGGGGCUAAACAUAUUACCGAAACUGUGGAUGAACCUCUUUAGAGGUUCGUGGUAGGAGAGCGUUCUAAGGGCGGUGAAGUCAGACCGGAAGGACUGGUGGAGCGCUUAGAAGUGAGAAUGCCGGUAUGAGUAGCGAAAGAAGGGUGAGAAUCCCUUCCACCGAAUAUCUAAGGUUUCCUGAGGAAGGCUCGUCCGCUCAGGGUUAGUCGGGACCUAAGCCGAGGCCGAUAGGCGUAGGCGAUGGACAACAGGUAGAGAUUCCUGUACCAGUGCUAAUUGUUUAACCGAUGGGGUGACACAGAAGGAUAGGGAAUCGCACGAAUGGAAAUGUGCGUCCAAGCAGUGAGUGUGAGAAGUAGGCAAAUCCGCUUCUCACGAAGCAUGAGCUGUGAUGGGGAAGGAAAUUAAGUACGGAAGUUCCUGAUUUCACGCUGUCAAGAAAAGCCUCUAGGAAGAGUAGUACUGCCCGUACCGCAAACCGACACAGGUAGAUGAGGAGAGAAUCCUAAGGUGAGCGAGAGAACUCUCGUUAAGGAACUCGGCAAAAUGACCCCGUAACUUCGGGAGAAGGGGUGCUCUAUUAGGGUGCAAGCCCGAGAGAGCCGCAGUGAAUAGGCCCAGGCGACUGUUUAGCAAAAACACAGGUCUCUGCAAAACCGUAAGGUGACGUAUAGGGGCUGACGCCUGCCCGGUGCUGGAAGGUUAAGAGGAGUGCUUAGCUUCGGCGAAGGUACGAAUUGAAGCCCCAGUAAACGGCGGCCGUAACUAUAACGGUCCUAAGGUAGCGAAAUUCCUUGUCGGGUAAGUUCCGACCCGCACGAAAGGCGCAACGAUCUGGGCACUGUCUCAACGAGAGACUCGGUGAAAUUAUAGUACCUGUGAAGAUGCAGGUUACCCGCGACAGGACGGAAAG